GUCAAGUGCUGACAUGUUUAAAGGCUGCUCUUUUCUGUCCUCAGUUAAUUCGCCAAGCAUCAGGCAUCACAACAGCAAAGAUGGCUUUUGGUCCUCACUUGUUGUUGCUCUUGUGUGGUAUCAGUGGACUGUUGACUGGAACUUGGGCUUUUGCUUUAAAGACAGAUCAGUAUUGCCCUCCACGCUGGACUCAGUUGGACAACCGCUGUAUAAUCUUUCAAAAUGAGAAAUUAACUUUUGCUCUUGCUGAGACUGUUUGCAACAUUCUUGGUGGAAACCUGGUUUCAAUCCACAAUAAUCUGGAAAAUGAAGUAGUUCGCCACCUGAUUCUGGCAGGGGCUGGAUCUUUUAGGCGUUCUUGGAUUGGACUCCAUGA